rnacentral:lncRNA from 12 species
AUGAGUUCGGUGGUCAUUCCGCUCUCGUCCUCCCCGACACUCCGGGAACGCCAGGCAGCUCGGCCUCUCGGCGCGACUAAGGCUGCGGGUUCGAAUUCCUCCACCACACCGGCUCCCUUGGGGGGUGGAGCGUGUAACCCGAUGCGACGUGCGUGCACUUUAUACAGAGAUCCCUACGAGAAAAUAAAAAUCCUAAAAGCAGCAAUGCCACUGCUUCCCUGCGCUCACGUUAGAAAAAAAGCUAUGCAGAAAAACCUCCUCGACGUGCAAGCCCGGAGCUCGCGCCGUGCACGGCGCUCCACAUCGGAGCCGGUCUCUCCGCGUCUCCCCCUCCUAAGGCUCGGAGCGGAGAGGAGGCGGGGAGGAGGGCGAGGCGGCUGGGCAGGGUCGACUCACUGUCCCCAGGAGAACCCGCGGAGCCAUCUCCAGGCCGGCAGCAGGCUGGGGCCGGCGGCCCGAUCCCCCCCCGUCAGCCCCUGCCCGCCCCGCGCCGCCCAGCACAAUGGAGCCCGGCGCGCGCCCGGCCCUUCAUCCGCCGCUGCCGGCGUCCCUCGGCUCCUCGGGGCUCCGCGGCUCGGAGGCUGCCGGCGGCGGAGAGGGAGCGCGCCGGAGAGCCGAGCCCGCGCCGAGCCCGCGCCGCCCCCGGCGCCCGCUCCCGGCGCCAGCGCGGGCCGAGCUGCAGGGCCCCGAGCGUCGGGGCAGCGGAGCGGGGCUCGCGGCCGGGGAGAGCCGCUGCUCCAGCGCCGCCGCCGCGCUGCUCGCCCCGUGCGCCCCCGCCGCCGCCGCCGCCGCCGCCGCCUCCUCACACUCCCAUCACCGCCCGCCGCCGCCGGCCUCCAGCGCCCGCCCGGCAGAGCAGCCCGCCGCCGCCUCCUCCGGCCGCUCGCGGGGCGGAGGGCGCCGCUUCCCGGGUCAGCGCCGCCCGCGACAGCCGAGCGCGGCGGCCAAGGGGGCUGCGGAGGGCGGCGGAGUGGGCGGGGAGACCGGGGGGCGCGAGCGGUCCUCCCCCCGCCGGGGGGGGGCGGGGGC